rnacentral:rRNA from 1 species
AUACGUAGGGGGCGAGCGUUGUCCGGAAUGAUUGGGCGUAAAGGGCGCGUAGGCGGCGCGGUAAGUCUGGAGUGAAGGUCCUGCUUUCAAGGUGGGAAUUGCUUUGGAUACUGCCGCGCUUGAGUGCAGGAGAGGUUAUCGGAAUUCCCGGUGUAGCGGUGAAAUGCGUAGAGAUCGGGAGGAACACCAGUGGCGAAGGCGGGUAACUGGACUGCAACUGACGCUGAGGCGCGAAAGUGUGGGGAGCAAACAGGAUUAGAUACCCUGGUAGUCCACACUGUAAACGAUGAAUGCUAGGUGUAAGAGGUAUCGACCCCUUUUGUGCCGGAGUCAACACAAUAAGCAUUCCGCCUGGGGAGUACGGCCGCAAGGUUGAAACUCAAAGGAAUUGACGGGG